UGCUCAUAGUCACACCCAGAGUUGUGUCUCCUUAGGUGACUCCAAAUGCAGCUGAGUUGACAGUGAGACUGAGUUGUCACGUGUGCCUACUUCUUCCAGACUUUUUAUUCAUCUUUGCCUUCUCCAAGACAAAGCCAGGACCUAAGCUUCACCCAUUUUCCAUGUGAGUACC
rnacentral:lncRNA from 1 species